UACGGAGGGUGCAAGCGUUAAUCGGAAUUACUGGGCGUAAAGCGCACGUAGGCGGUUUGCUAAGUCAGCUGUGAAAUCCCCGGGCUCAACCUGGGCACUGCAGUUGAAACUGGCAAGCUAGAGUAGGGUAGAGGGGUGUGGAAUUCCAGGUGUAGCGGUGAAAUGCGUAGAUAUCUGGAGGAACAUCAGUGGCGAAGGCGACACCCUGGACUCAUACCGACACUGAGGUGCGAAAGCGUGGGGAGCAAACAGG
rnacentral:rRNA from 1 species